AGCCAUAUCACGUUGAAACAGAAGUUCUCAUACGAUCACUGAAGUUAAGCAAUGUUAAGCUUUGUCAGUACCUAAAUGAGUGACUGCUUGGGAAUACUAGGUGCUGUAA